CUGGCCUCCGGAGCAGCGCACCCUCGAGGUCCCGGCCCAAGGGCCCGCUUGGGUCCCGGCGCGACGCUGUCUUUGGACUGCAGUGGAAAGACCUAAGGGAGCGCUAACCCGGUCCCUAGGAAGCCCAGGAGCUGCUAGUUCCCAGCAGGGUGAGUAGUCUUCUAAGCAGCUCUCUCUCUCUCUGUCUGACACCUGCGGAGUGGCUGGCGGUCUGGUGAUUUUGCCGAAACUGAAGAAGACACUGGAGGAGCCCAGAAAAACUACGCCUUUUGUAGGAUGCAGUUCACAACCACAAAAAUGGCCUCUUUGUAAAGGUGUCUGUAACCAGGAAGAGAGCUGUUCUAUGGCAACUUUUAUCCACCCAGUCUUUCUCUCCAGGCUCCCCCACCCCCCCUGCGCCUAACCCAUCCCUAUUUGCUUUCACCAAACCCUCAGAGUUUGCCUCCACGAUACCCAUGAAGCAAACCUCUAUUUUUCUGUAUCACUUGGUGGAGUAUAUAAGGUUAAGCUGUGGGCAAUCUCAAAAGACUCAUACUGAUUUUUAUAUUUUGAGACGAGGUCUCACUGUGUAGCUAGCUAGCCCUGGCUGUCCUGGAACUUGCUAUAUAGGCCAGGCUAGCCUACCUCUGCCUCUCACAGGUGCUGGGAUCAAAGGUUUACACAACAAGAAGGGCAUUGGAGGUUGAGGAUUUUAUGGAGUUUUACAGGACUCCCUUCCAUGGCCACAUUAAUUAAAAAUGAUUUUUUUCUCCUGUU